rnacentral:tRNA from 1 species
GGUUAUAGCUCAAUUGGUAGAGUGUUUGCCUCACAUGUACAAGGCCCUGGUUCAAUCCCUAGCACCA